rnacentral:rRNA from 1 species
ACUCCUACGGGAGGCAGCAGUGGGGAAUAUUGCACAAUGGGCGCAAGCCUGAUGCAGCCAUGCCGCGUGUAUGAAGAAGGCCUUCGGGUUGUAAAGUACUUUCAGCAGUGAGGAAGGUGGAUAUGUUAAUAGCAUAUUCAUUUGACGUUAGCUGCAGAAGAAGCACCGGCUAACUCCGUGCCAGCAGCCGCGGUAAUACGGAGGGUGCGAGCGUUAAUCGGAAUUACUGGGCGUAAAGCGCAUGCAGGUGGUUUGUUAAGUCAGAUGUGAAAGCCCGGGGCUCAACCUCGGAAUUGCAUUUGAAACUGGCAAACUAGAGUACUGUAGAGGGGGGUAGAAUUUCAGGUGUAAGCGGUGAAAUGCGUAGAGAUCUGAAAGGAAUACCGGUGGCGAAGGCGGCCCCCUGGACAGAUACUGACACUCAGAUGCGAAAGCUGGGGAGCAAACAGGAUUAUAUACCCUGGUAGGCUCU